CCCUCUUCCUCUUCCUCCUCCUCCUCCUCCUCCGUUCUUCUUCGGUAAUGGUGGUCAUUAUUUCUUUUCUCGACACAACGAUCCGGGCUUCCAUAACGUUUCUCCAAUCCUCAUUUAUAUAGAGUCUCGAGCUGCCUCAGACGCCAUCUCUGCCCUUGCCGUCGUCUCUGACGUCGCCGCCUUCUCUGUAGUGGCCACCGUCUCCGCCGUGGACGCCGUCCCCUACUCCACCUUCGAUUCACUCCGACUUGGCAGAUCCGUCGGUAGGCUCCUCUGAUUCUGGGAUGCUAAGGACAUCAACAAGAAUGGGGAGCUUUUGGGAAUAACCAUUUUGCUCCUCGAUGAGAAGGACCAUGUGAUCCAUGGUUUUAUCCGAGCUAACUGGGCCAGCCAUUACCGGUCCUCUCUGGCGUCUGGUUCAAUCGUGAGACUGGAGCGUUUUGAUGUUGCUAGGGUGUCCCAACUGUCGUCUUCUCCGAGAUCCUUCGUUUGAUGCUGCUUCCUCUUCCGGGGUUCAGUUUUGUUACUCGAUCUAUCAUAUGUAGUUUGACUCUUCCAUAUUCAUUCAUUCUACCAUCAUCCCAAACGCUUCAUAACCUACACAAAAACCACUAAAUAUAUAGUUGAAAUUCGAGAAACAACCUCAUCUCAUUAAUUGUUUUGUUUUUGGUGAUAGUUUUUUUCCUGGUGUGUAGAUGUAGGGAUCACAAGAUUGCGUUGUUGAAGGUAUGUGGUGAUUAAUCGCGGUUUCAUUUGGAUCAGUUUUUUUUUUCUUCAUUUGAAAAGCUGUGGCUUUUUAGUUUUAAUGUUGAUUCAUUUGACCCUGCCUGGCUCUCUGGUUUGUAUUGCUAAUGUGAG